rnacentral:lncRNA from 1 species
CACUUUUCAAAAAAAUUGUAUAGCUUUGGAGAAUCUAUCAAAUAAAGGAUUUCAUAGAUUUGACCUAAUUCACCCUAUAACAAGAACUAGGUUGAAAACCCAACAAUCAAAGGAAUCAUUCAUUUGAAUCCAAAUAUCCAACAAUCAUCGACCCUAUACUUUUAGGGAGAGUAUCAUAGCUCAAAUCCUACAUCUCAACCAAGAAAUUCUAAAGAAUUAGCUACAUAUGAUUCUAGGAGAAGACAAAUCAAAAUAUGACCUAACCAUCAUAUUGAUGAGGAGACGAUGAAUCGAUCCUGCUCCAAUUGUCGCUUUUAAUCUUCUAGCUUCAGUCCUAGCUUCAAUCUUCGAUGUGGACUCCUUUGGAUCUUUAAUUGGACUUCUAGGGAUGGAGAAACGUGUUUUUGCAGAGAAGUUGUGAAAAAGUCGAAGGAAUUCGUUCUGGGGAAGUCUCCCUCUCUUUCCUCAAAAACUGUCCUUUUAUAGGAAGCUGCCAAAACUGGAGGGUGCACGCCGUGCACCUCCUUGUCUUUAGAAUCCUGCGUAGCUCAAUGGAAGGAAUGGCGUGCAGGGGUGCAAGUCGUUCCCCUGUUAUAGGGCUCUGGUUUUCAACAAUCCCAGGCCUGCACGGCGUGCAACCCUUCUGCUUCUCCAUUUCCUUUCUCGAUCUUCCGUUCGAGCUCCAACUAUACUCUACUUCACGUCCAUAACUUCAUAACCAUACCAUCUAUCUCUAGAUUACCUGUGGAUAACAAAUACUACAAAGAAACACAUCAAAUGGACCAAAACGGUCCAAGUGAAUGGGUCUAGGCACAUAAUGCAAAACACGAAAUCACACGGGAAUGAAGUUCGAACAAACUAAUAUUCACUCAAAAAACAUGCAAAUAAAAAUAGAUAAUUACUACAAAUCCUAACACUAUCAGUAAACUGAUAACCUUAACCAGCUGGAUUAGGAUUCUAAAAUCUUAAUCAUACGCAAAUCUUAAUC